GUGGGUAACCUGCCUUAUAGUGGGGGAGUAGCCUUUCGAAAGGAAGAUUAAUACCGCAUAAGAUUGUAGUAUCGCAUGAUAUAGCAAUUAAAAGGAGCAAUUCGCUAUAAGAUGGACCCGCGUCGCAUUAGCUAGUUGGUGAGGUAAUGGCUCACCAAGGCGACGAUGCGUAGCCGACCUGAGAGGGUGAUCGGCCACAUUGGGACUGAGACACGGCCCAGACUCCUACGGGAGGCAGCAUG
rnacentral:rRNA from 1 species